GGAGAGGGUCUGGGCUCUCUCUUGAUUGGGGUAAUACCUGCCGGUUCAUGCAUCAGUUGCUCUUGCAUUUUCUGGCUGAGGGUUUGCCUGGCAGCUUGGCGAGACUCCUGCCUAGAAAUAGAUGGAGUGGGAAUGGGACAGGACUUGUUACUUAACUCCCAGUGGAGCCCUUUCUCAGAGACUUAACGUGCCUCUCUCACCAUAGGUAGCUUGUACAAGUUGCUUCGAUACCCUUUCUAUGGGUAAAGAUAAUCUUAUUUUUCUAUGCUUCUUCCAGAGGCCUUGGACUAUUGAAUAUUUUUAAGGGAAUUUGUGCCCAGACCAAGCUGGAUGUGGGGAAGGGGCUGGAAUCAGGACCCAGGCUUCCUUGGCCAACUAUUUCAAGCAAAUAAGACGAUUUGAGAGCCAGUAAGAAGAUGAAGUCUAACAGGUGUGGUUUUGGAUUAGCUGCUGACCUAAUAGUUGGUUCCAUAUUAUACGGUAUCAAAGUGUAAAUGUAAUACCACAGCCCUACUACCAGCUAUGACAUCUUUGGGUAACUGACCCUAGUGUGUGUUAUUUCCUCCACGAAUACGUGAGCUGAAAGGGCUUCCCUGUGGCCCAUGUGCCACAACUACUGAAGCCCACGCACCUAGAGCCUGUGCUCUGCAACAACUGCAAUGAGAAGCCUGCGCACUGCAACGAAGAGUAGCCCCCGCUCGCUGCAACUAGAGAAAGCCUGUGCACAGCAACAAAGACCCAAUACAGCCAAAAAU